ACCCGGCUGGCUCAGUUGAUAGAGCAUGCGACUCUUGAUCUUGGGGUCGUGAGUUCAAGCCCCAUGUUGGGUG
rnacentral:tRNA from 1 species